GUUUGGGGCCGCUGAAGAACCAUUCCCUACUCUGAGAGGAUUGAGGACUACAGGCCCUGAGAAAAGCCUCUCCACUUACAGAUGACAUUCCUGUCGUCCGUCUUCCUUCUUUUCUCGCUGGCUAGGCUUAACCCUAGUCCUCAUCUGUGUUUUCAUGGUGCAUUAUGGGAAAACUGUUUGCUUCAGCUACAGAAUUAUGUUUUCUACUUCCUAAAGUAGCGAGAACCUUUUAGAUUAGGAUAUGUCAUAGUUGAUAAUAUCCAAUUAAUGUCCUGUUGACUUCAAGCUGACUGUAUUUGGGGUCAAGAACGGUCUUUAUAUCUCGACAUUGCGUAUCAGUGUCGUGACCCGAGUCCUGGAGUGUCCUGGUCACUAGCUUGUUCUUGGUGCUCCUCAGAUCAACCGGCCUGUGAUGGAGGCAGCCCUGAGUCCAGACAUGCUGGCCACUGACUUGGCCUACUACCUCGUCCGCAAGGGGCUGCCCUUCAGAGAGGCCCACGGACUCUCUGGAAGAGCCGUCUUCCAGGCAGAGUCUAAGAACGUCCCUCUGAACCAGCUGACUGUGGAGGACCUCGCUACUAUAAGGUGACUCGUCCACACACCGUGAUCUGAUAGUCCCGAACAACGUCCGGCCGUCUUUUGGUUUACGAGACUACUGUUGUUUCUCCGGCCUGUUUACUGAGCACCUCUCCCCCCUGGCUCCAGCCCCGUUUGACCGCGACGUGGCGGCCGUGUGGGACUACACCAGCAGUGUGGAGCAGUACAGCGCCCCCGGUGGCACGGCCCGGAGCAGCGUCACAGCGCAGGUGCAACACCUGAGGAGAUGGCUGCAGGACCACACCCAGUGAUCUUGUUUGGCCAGUGAUGGACAAGAGACGUCCGUUGCCUCUGGUUGUUUUAUCAAGGGUUAUCCAGGUGUGCUUUUAAGCAUCAGAAUCAUGUUGUUCCAUAAAAUUUAUUGCAAACUCACCUCAUUUGUGAAUCGCUUUCCUUUGGUUCCUUCAAGCCGAUUAAAUUGGUGGAGUCUAUUUCCCUCUUGGCUAGGUUCAGACCACGCCCCUCAAUACUGAGUCUUAGCUGACUUAGAGAUAUACUGUAUAUUAACACACGUGUUGACAUUUUCCUGAGCGGUUCAGUAGGUGUGUAGGAGAUGCAUCCCUUAGAUAUGCAAGUGUUUUGACCUGACUUUACAUCUCUGAACAGGUUUACUGAGUAAGCACCAACAUAUAAGGAUACAUCGUUACUCUCUGAAGAGCUGUUCUAUCAAUGCAUUUUUGGUAACUGUUUUGUGAACAAUAUGAAAGAAGUGAAUAUUGUAGGGACGUUUUUCACAGGUUAACAACUUAAGAAUACCAUUGUACUACAUAAUGUACACACUUAUUGUGCGCACUUAAUCUACAAUGCACUUAUUCAUAGCACUUAAUUGCGUCACAUCUGCAGUAGCUGCUUGCAUUGCUGUACACAGGGAGUGGGUUAGCCUAGCGAUUGUUAGUACUUGCACUUGGCUCUAUGAACAUCUUUACUGUACUGACAGCGAUAUAUUGUUUGACAAAUGUACUUAUUGUAAGUCACUUUGGAUAAAAGCGUCUGCUAAAUGCCCUAAAUGUAAAUGUAAA